rnacentral:rRNA from 1 species
UACAGAGGGGGCAAGCGUUGUUCGGAAUUACUGGGCGUAAAGGGCGCGUAGGCGGUCAGACCAAGUCGAGUGUGAAAUUCCAGGGCUUAACUCUGGCGCGCUCGCUCGAUACUGGUCGGCUAGAGUGUGGAAGAGGAUGCUGGAAUUCCCGGUGUAGCGGUGAAAUGCGUAGAUAUUGGGAGGAACACCGGGUGGCGAAGGCGGCUACCUGGACCGGUUCUGACGCUGAUGCGCGAAAGCGUGGGUAGCAAACAGG